rnacentral:rRNA from 1 species
UACGUAGGGCGCAAGCGUUGUCCGGAAUUAUUGGGCGUAAAGAGCUCGUAGGCGGCCUGUCGCGUCUGCUGUGAAAUCCCGGGGUUUAACCCCGGGCGUGCAGUGGAUACGGGCUGGCUGGAGGCAGGCAGGGGAGAACGGAAUUCCCGGUGUAGCGGUGAAAUGCGCAGAUAUCGGGAGGGACACCGGUGGCGAAGGCGGUUCUCUGGGCCUGUACUGACGCUGAGGAGCGAAAGCGUGGGGAGCGAACAGG